AAGUCGUAACAAGGUUUCCGUAGGUGAACCUGCGGAAGGAUCAUUAAAAAUUUAUAUCCGGGAAUUCGUUUCGUUUUCCCGUGAUUAUUUGUAUUCAAAUCCCACUCUUUAUAAAUAUAUUAUAAUUAUAUAAAACAAAAAAAUAAAAAGAAAACUUUCAACAACGGAUCUCUUGGCUCUC
rnacentral:misc_RNA from 1 species